rnacentral:lncRNA from 1 species
UGAUGAUACCUACCUAGAUCCUGUAGCAGGUCAGCACUCCACGUUUUUAUAACUUAACAUGAUUUUGUAAUGAUAAGUUGACUUGAAUCAUAUUUGUCAUUCUUUAUUUUAUCUUUUCCAGAACCUCCUGCACCCCGAAGCCCGGCCCGCAUGCCAUUGCCCCCUAAAACUGUAGGACGAGACCUUCCACCACAAAUAAUGAAGCCACCUGUUCCCAGAGCCAAAUCUAGUUCGGUUCUGAUCGGUGACACGGUGAACAAAGUUCUGCCGCCGGAAGUAAAACGCGCCACGUUUUCUGGCCAGCUGCCACCCGCACUAAACAGCAAACCGGUUCCUCCCAUCAUCCUCCCCAAAGAACCCAAACCCAGGUGAGUCUUUGAAGCCUUUACCUCUUUACAUGUUCAGAAACGUCCUGGAC